rnacentral:misc_RNA from 1 species
GAUGAAGAACGUAGCGAAAUGCGAUACUUGGUGUGAAUUGCAGAAUCCCGUGAACCAUCGAGUCUUUGAACGCAAGUUGCGCCCGAAGCCAUUAGGCCGAGGGCACGCCUGCCUGGGCGUCACACAUCGUUGCCCCCCCAUCUACUCCUUCGGGAUUGCGGGGGGCGGAUGAUGGCCUCCCGUGCGCCUCGCCGCGCGGUUGGCAUAAAUGCCAAGUCCUCGGCGACGCACGCCACGACAAUCGGUGGUUGCGAAACCUCGGUUGCCCGUCGUGUGCGGUCGUCGCGCAUCGAGGGCUCGAAAAAAUUGCCGGGUUCCGGCUCGGCUUUCAACGCGACCCCAGGUCAGGCGGGGUUACCCGCUGAAUUUAAGCAUAUCAAUAAGCGGAGGA